rnacentral:rRNA from 1 species
UGGGGAAUAUUGCACAAUGGGGGAAACCCUGAUGCAGCCAUGCCGCGUGUGUGAAGAAGGCCUUCGGGUUGUAAAGCACUUUCAGUAGGGAGGAAGGUAGUGUAGUUAACACCUGCACUAUUUGACGUUACCUACACGAAGAAGCACCGGCUAACUCCGUGCCAGCAGCCGCGGUAAUACGGAGGGUGCGAGCGUUAAUCGGAAUUACUGGGCGUAAAGCGCAUGCAGGCGGCCUGUUAAGUCAGAUGUGAAAGCCCGGGGCUUAACCUCGGAAUUGCAUUUGUAAACUGGCAGGCUAGAGUCUUGUAGAGGGGGGUAGGAAUUUCAGGUGUAGCGGUGAAAUGCGUAGAGAUCUGAAGGGAAUACCAGUGGCGAAGGCGGCCCCCUCGGACAAAGACUGACGCUCAGAUGCGAAAGCGUGGGGAGCAAACAGGAUUAGAUACCCCUGGUAG